rnacentral:rRNA from 1 species
UACGUAGGGUGCGAGCGUUAAUCGGAAUUACUGGGCGUAAAGCGUGCGCAGGCGGUUCUGCAAGUCAGAUGUGAAAUCCCCGGGCUUAACCUGGGAACUGCGUUUGAAACUGUGGAGCUAGAGUACGGCAGAGGGGGGUGGAAUUCCACGUGUAGCAGUGAAAUGCGUAGAUAUGUGGAGGAAUACCGAUGGCGAAGGCAGCCCCCUGGGUCAACACUGACGCUCAUGCACGAAAGCGUGGGGAGCAAACAGG